GACAUUUUUAUGCCCCACCUACGAUAGUAGAGGGGCAUUAUGUUUUCUGGUCUGUGCGUCCGUUCGUCCGUCCGUUCGUUCGUCCGUUCGUUCGUUCGUCCGUCUGUCCCGCUUCAGGUUAAAGUUUUUGGUCGAGGUAGUUUUUGAUGAAGUUGAAGUCCAAUCGACUUCAAACUUGGUACACAUGUUCCCUAUGAUAUGAUCUUUCUAAUUUUAAUGCCAAAUUAGAGAUUUUAUCCCAAUUUCACGGUCCACUGAACAUAGAAAAUGAUAGUGCGAGUGGGGCAUUCGUGUACUGAGGACACAUUCUUGUUUCCAAUUUAA
rnacentral:lncRNA from 1 species